CCUACGGGAGGCAGCAGUGAGGAAUAUUGGUCAAUGGACGAGAGUCUGAACCAGCCAAGUAGCGUGAAGGAUGACUGCCCUAUGGGUUGUAAACUUCUUUUAUAUGGGAAUAAAACAGGGUAUGCAUACCCUUUUGUAUGUACCAUAUGAAUAAGGAUCGGCUAACUCCGUGCCAGCAGCCGCGGUAAUACGGAGGAUCCGAGCGUUAUCCGGAUUUAUUGGGUUUAAAGGGAGCGUAGGUGGAUUGUUAAGUCAGUUGUGAAAGUUUGCGGCUCAACCGUAAAAUUGCAGUUGAAACUGGCAGUAUUGAGUACAGUAGAGGUGGGCGGAAGUCGUGGUGUAGCGGUGAAAUGCUUAGAUAUCACGAAGAACUCCGAUUGCGAAGGCAGCUCACUGGACUGCAACUGACACUGAUGCUCGAAAGUGUGGGUAUCAAACAGGAUUAGAUACCCGUGUAGUC
rnacentral:rRNA from 1 species